CACUCCCUAUCGUAGUCCGAUAGGAACAAAUCGUCGGACCGAUUCUGUGCCGUCCAUCUUUGUUUCAUCGUAUGGCCCGCGGACAACUUGAUUCCCUAAAAAAUCCACCCUUUAUCCCAACCCGAUGCCAACCAGGUUACCCAAAAUCACGCUGCCAGUUACGGAUCGCUCGAUUUCUUCCCCAAAUCGCCUCUCCUGCGCUGCGGCGCCGAGCUCGCCGCCUAUGCGGGAUCCACCGCGCCGUGCCCUGCCAUCCCGUUCCCUGUGCUACCUCUACCUGGAUCGAGACCUGCGUCGGCAGGCGAUGUCGUUCCUCCGUGUGGAAGCGUCGUCGGGGCCUCCCUGAGUGUCGGCGGACGGACAUUUGGUUUGAAGCAGGGAAUGGCUUCUUUCCCUGUAGCGGUUGCGGCUGGCCGAGGCAGCAGACUGCGUCCUUCUCCAGGUGCGGCAGCGGAUCUUCCCAUCUAAGUCCACACCCUUUUUCCACCAUGAAGGAGGCCCAUUCUGAUUGUCUACUACUAAGUUGUUGUGCGGCAUUCUGUUUCAAACAUGGUGGAAGCAGACUUCCGUUUGGUUCCGAAGUAGACAUCCAUUUCUUCUGAAGCAGACCUCCAUUUCUUCCGUAGCACUCUAUCAUGUUACAGGUGCGUGGUUGAAGAAAGCAUGUUCAUUUCUUUGGAAGAAGAUUUCCAACAAUUUGGAAGCAAACGCCUAUGUAGUCGUUACGAGUGAAUAUAUAUUUUGUUUCGAUGGCAACAAA